rnacentral:rRNA from 1 species
GAUGAACGCUGGCGGCGUGCAUAACACAUUCAAGUCGAACGAAGCAUUUUCGACGGAGACUUCGGUCAAAGUUGAAUUUGACUUAGUGGCGGACGGGUGAGUAACGCGUGAGCAACCUGCCUUUCAAAGCGGGAUAACGUUUGGAAACGGACGCUAAUACCGCAUGAUGUAUACGAACCGCAUGAUUUGUAUACCAAAGAUUAAUCGAUGAAAGAUGGGCUCGCGUCUGAUUAGAUAGUUGGUGAGGUAACGGCUCACCAAGUCGACGAUCGGUAGCCGGACUGAGAGGUUGAACGGCCACAUUGGAACUGAGAUACGGUCCAGACUCCUACGGGAGGCAGCAGUGGGGAAUAUUGGGCAAUGGGCGCAAGCCUGACGGAGCAAUGCCGCGUGAGUGAAGAAGGCCUUGGGUUGUAAAACGUCUAGUCCUUAUUGAAGUAGAGGUAGCAGUGUGAAUAA